UACAAAGGUCCCAAGCGUUGUUCGGAUUCACUGGGCGUAAAGGGUGCGUAGGUGGCCGGGAAAGUUCGGUGUAAAAGCUCCAAGCUCAACUUGGAAAUGUCACCGAAAACUUCCUAACUUGAAAAUUGAAGGGGAGACUGGAAUUCUCGGUGUAGCAGUGAAAUGCGUAGAUAUCGAGAGGAACACCGGUGGCGAAGACGAAUCUCUAGGCAAUUCCUGACACUAAGGCACAAAAGCUGGAAAAGCAAAC
rnacentral:rRNA from 1 species